rnacentral:rRNA from 1 species
GACGAACGCUGGCGGCGUGCCUAAUACAUGCAAGUCGAGCGGACAGAUGGGAGCUUGCUCCCUGAUGUUAGCGGCGGACGGGUGAGUAACACGUGGGUAACCUGCCUGUAAGACUGGGAUAACUCCGGGAAACCGGGGCUAAUACCGGAUGGUUGUUUGAACCGCAUGGUUCAAACAUAAAAGGUGGCUUCGGCUACCACUUACAGAUGGACCCGCGGCGCAUUAGCUAGUUGGUGAGGUAACGGCUCACCAAGGCAACGAUGCGUAGCCGACCUGAGAGGGUGAUCGGCCACACUGGGACUGAGACACGGCCCAGACUCCUACGGGAGGCAGCAGUAGGGAAUCUUCCGCAAUGGACGAAAGUCUGACGGAGCAACGCCGCGUGAGUGAUGAAGGUUUUCGGAUCGUAAAGCUCUGUUGUUAGGGAAGAACAAGUACCGUAUGAAUAGGGCGGUACCUUGACGGUACCUAACCAGAAAGCCACGGCUAACUACGUGCCAGCAGCCGCGGUAAUACGUAGGUGGCAAGCGUUGUCCGGAAUUAUUGGGCGUAAAGGGCUCGCAGGCGGUUUCUUAAGUCUGAUGUGAAAGCCCCCGGCUCAACCGGGGAGGGUCAUUGGAAACUGGGGAACUUGAGUGCAGAAGAGGAGAGUGGAAUUCCACGUGUAGCGGUGAAAUGCGUAGAGAUGUGGAGGAACACCAGUGGCGAAGGCGACUCUCUGGUCUGUAACUGUAUCUGAGGAGCGAAAGCGUGGGGAGCGAACAGGAUUAGAUACCCUGGUAGUCCACGCCGUAAACGAUGAGUGCUAAGUGUUAGGGGGUUUCCGCCCCUUAGUGCUGCAGCUAACGCAUUAAGCACUCCGCCUGGGGAGUACGGUCGCAAGACUGAAACUCAAAGGAAUUGACGGGGGCCCGCACAACCUGGGAGCAUGUGGUUUAAUUCGAAGCAACGCGAAGAACCUUACCAGGUCUUGACAUCCUCUGACAAUCCUAGAGAUAGGACGUCCCCUUCGGGGGCAGAGUGACAGGUGGUGCAUGGUUGUCGUCAGCUCGUGUCGUGAGAUGUUGGGUUAAGUCCCGCAACGAGCGCAACCCUUGAUCUUAGUUGCCAGCAUUCAGUUGGGCACUCUAAGGUGACUGCCGGUGACAAACCGGAGGAAGGUGGGGAUGACGUCAAAUCAUCAUGCCCCUUAUGACCUGGGCUACACACGUGCUACAAUGGACAGAACAAAGGGCAGCGAAACCGCGAGGUUAAGCCAAUCCCACAAAUCUGUUCUCAGUUCGGAUCGCAGUCUGCAACUCGACUGCGUGAAGCUGGAAUCGCUAGUAAUCGCGGAUCAGCAUGCCGCGGUGAAUACGUUCCCGGGCCUUGUACACACCGCCCGUCACACCACGAGAGUUUGUAACACCCGAAGUCGGUGAGGUAACCUUUUAGGAGCCAGCCGCCGAAGGUGGGACAGAUGAUUGGGGUGAAGUCGUAACAAGGUAGCCGUAUCGGAAGG